CUAUUUGCAGAAAUAAGUUGAGUUUUCGCACAAAAAAAAACAAAAUCGUGAGUGGAGUGAUAUCAAAGAUUUGAUCCAGGAAAAAGCGUGAGUGGAUAUUUAACAAGCUAAUUUUGAAGAAAGAAAAGGAGCCAAAAAGUGAGAAGCAAUAACGUGAGUCACCGCAGUGACCGCGUGGAGCAUUGGGGUUGAGGAGUGGCUUCGUUCGGUGGAA